GGCGGAGGCGACUACGGGGCGUGACGCUCCCGGCGCCUGGCAGCGGCGGGAGGAGCCGGAGCCGCCGCCGAGGACUCUGGUUAUUCUAGCCGCGGGUUCCGGCUGCGUUGGGCGUGCGCGAAGCUGGCUGCGACGAUGGCGUCCGGGCCUCACCCGAUCCCGGCAGCGGCCUCGGCCUCCUCGGCCUCCUCCUCUUCGGCCUCGGCCCCCGCUUCCUCCUCCUCGGCCGCCUCCUCCUCGGGCCCCGCGGCGGCGGCCUCGGGGGGCCCGGCCUCGGCGGCUUCCGGCGGCGGUCCCGCGGCCGGGAUCCUCAUCGGCGACCGGCUCUACUCGGAGGUGUCGCUGACCAUCGACCACUCGCUGAUCCCGGAGGAGCGGCUGUCACCCACGCCGUCCAUGCAGGACGGCCUCGAUCUGCCCAGCGAGACGGAUCUGCGCAUCCUGGGCUGCGAGCUCAUCCAGGCCGCCGGCAUCUUGCUUCGGCUGCCCCAGGUGGCGAUGGCGACGGGGCAGGUGCUGUUCCACCGCUUUUUCUAUUCCAAGUCCUUCGUCAAACACAGCUUCGAGAUUGUUGCCAUGGCUUGUAUCAAUCUCGCUUCCAAAAUUGAAGAAGCACCUCGUAGAAUAAGAGAUGUGAUAAAUGUUUUUCACCAUUUACGGCAGUUAAGAGGAAAAAGGACACCAAGCCCCCUGAUCCUUGAUCAGAACUACAUAAACACCAAAAAUCAAGUAAUCAAGGCAGAGAGAAGGGUAUUGAAGGAAUUGGGAUUUUGUGUUCAUGUCAAGCAUCCCCACAAGAUCAUUGUUAUGUAUUUACAAGUCUUAGAAUGUGAACGAAAUCAAACCCUGGUUCAGACAGCCUGGGUAGUCCAUGAUGGUAAGUCAUAGAACUCUGCCCUCUGCACCUCAGCCCAUGACCUCAGGAUGGCCUGAUUGGCUGCCCUUCUCUCCAGCCAAUCCAGUGCAAGCUCUCAUCCGAGAUUCACUGAAGUGGUCCAUAUCCAUCUGGCAGCAUCUUCUAGUUCUGUCGGGGUGUCAAAAGGAUUUGUAUAUUUGUUUCUAGAAGUAACUAUUCAACAUGCAUAUGUAUUUAAUGUAUACCUGUUACUAUCAAAAUGAAUGGCUCAUUUUUGAUAGACUUGUUGUCCAGCCAUUAUGAAUUACAUUGAUUUUAUGAAUAGUUUAACAAUUUGGAUCAUUAGUGUGUACAGCAUGCUAAUACUACCAAAGGAAAUGACAGUGGGCACCAUUUUAUCCUACAACUGUUAGCAGUUGGGCGAUUGGAAUUCAGAUUUGCAUUUCAGGCAAUAGGAAAUUUAGAGAACGGUCAGGUCUUCCCUUGUUUUAAGGGAAGUCUUACUAUUGCUUGGAGACACUUUAAGCAACACUUUUGAGAGGCUGAUUUUCUGCGCGGAGUGCUGGCUUAUUUAAAGGUAAAAUGAGUAAUACUUUGGUGAAUUGUUACAGUUGUUACUCUACUGUCCUUUAUUCUAAAACUUAAUCGUGUACAGGAAAUUAUUGGCAGUAACAAGUCCUUUGCCUAUGCAAGCAAAAAUGACUUAAUUUCUCAUUAAUUCCUAUGCCAUCUGUUGGGCUUUCAAUAAAGUAUUCUAUCUUGUACUGGUCUUAAUAAAAUCUACAUAAGUUAUGUUUGUUUCAUGUAAGUUUCGUGAAAUUAGAUUUCAUGAAUCAGUUUCUUAGCUAAAUAUUAUUAAAGAUGCUGAUUCCACUUUAAGUUUGAUAAACCUGAAAUUAUUUACAUAUUGUAUAUUUAUAAACAUUUUGUAUGGAAUACAAAUGUCCAACAUUUAAUUCUGAGUAAUUAGAAUACAUUUUCAGUCUUGUUUAAUUGCUGCAUAAGCAUUAGAGAUGUGUGUGCUUUAAAUCUAAUUAAUUAACCUUUACAAGGUUUGAAGUUAAUGACAUUUUUUUCAAGCAGCAAACUUAGUUUCCUUACUAUUUGAGCUAAAUACCAGCAGCCACUUGGAAGAGUAUAUAAAUAUUUUACCCUACCAUUUUUCUGUGUUUUUUCUUCCUGAAAAAAAAAAAAUCUUGUGAAAUUGUUUGUACACAACAGAAUUACUAAAAUUCCUGACCUGCAAUUUUGUCAAAAGGGUUUAUAAAUUCUGAGACAUGAAAAAUUGUCAAAAACAAAGUUGUAAAAACGUUGCUUUUUAAGGAAAAACUGUGCUGUCGUUUUUAAAGUUUUCUUCAAUCAAAAAUAGCAAAUACUGUUGUGUUUUUCUUUGUUGGGCAGAGAGGGGAGGCUUUUAAAGUGUUUUGUGUUUGUUUGGGUUUUUUUUUAAUUAUUUUUAAAGCAGAGGGACAGAUUAAAAAUGUUAAAAUUCUUAUCUCUUGAAUUUUAAGAUAAGAAUGUUAGAAGCCUAUAUGACAACUAAAGAGAAGGAAAAAGAAUAAAGUAGAUUGAGUCUCCAAUUAAGUUUAAACUCCAGAAGAAACAUUUGUUCACCCUUAAAACUUAGAGUUAUAAUGUUUUCCAGGAAUUACAUGAAUGACAGUCUUCGAACCAAUGUUUUUGUUCGAUUUCAACCAGAGACAAUAGCAUGUGCUUGUAUCUACCUUGCAGCUAGAGCGCUUCAGAUUCCACUGCCAAGUCGUCCUCACUGGUUUCUACUCUUUGGUACCACAGA